GACGAACGCUGGCGGCGUGCUUAACACAUGCAAGUCAGGGGGCGGGGUAACCCGUCACCGGCGAUCGGGUGCGGAACACGUGAGCGACCUGCCCUGGGGUGGGGGACAGCCGGCCCAACGGCCGGGUAAUACCGCAUACGGCGCCCGCUUGGAAUCGGGAGGCGAAACUCGCUAGAGGCGCUAGGAGGGGCUCGCGGCCUGUUAGCUAGUUGGUGGGGUAGCGGGGCAACAAGGCUAUGACGGGGAGAUGGUCUGAGAGGACGGCCAGGCACAUAGGGACGGACAGACGGCCCAGGCGAGUACGGGGGGGAGCAGUGGGGAAUAUUGGGCAAUGGGCGAAAGCGUGACGCAGCGACGGCGAGUGGGGGAUGAGGCCCGUCGGGGUGUAUACUCCGGGUGGCCGGGACGUAUGCGCCACAGCGGCGAGGUUGACGGUACCGGGUGAGAAAGCACCGGCUAACUACGUG
rnacentral:rRNA from 1 species